rnacentral:tRNA from 1 species
CGGGGCGUGGCGCAGUCCGGUUAGCGCGCUUGACUGGGGGUCAAGAAGUCGCUGGUUCGAAUCCAGUCGCCCCGA